rnacentral:rRNA from 1 species
UACAGAGGUCUCAAGCGUUGUUCGGAUUCAUUGGGCGUAAAGGGUGCGUAGGUGGCGCGCUAAGUCGGGUGUGAAAUUUCGGAGCUUAACUCCGAAACUGCAUUCGAUACUGGCGUGCUCGAGGACUGGAGAGGAGACUGGAAUUCAUGGUGUAGCAGUGAAAUGCGUAGAGAUCAUGAGGAAGACCAGUGGCGAAGGCGGGUCUCUGGACAGUUCCUGACACUGAGGCACGAAGGCCAGGGGAGCAAACGGG